UGGCCUCGAAUCAGGUAGGGAUACCCGCUGAACUUAAGCAUAUCAAUAAGCGGAGGAAAAGAAACCAACAGGGAUUGCCUUAGUAACUGCGAGUGAAGCGGCAAGAGCUCAAAUUUGAAAUCUGGCGCCUUUGGCGUCCGAGUUGUAAUUUGGAGAGGCAUCUUCGGGUGCGGCGCCGGCCUAAGUUCCUUGGAACAGGACGUCAUAGAGGGUGAGAAUCCCGUUCUCGGCUGGCUGUCCGCGUCCAUGUGAAGUGUCUUCGACGAGUCGAGUUGUUUGGGAAUGCAGCUCAAAAUGGGUGGUAAACUCCAUCUAAAGCUAAAUACUGGCGAGAGACCGAUAGCGCACAAGUAGAGUGAUCGAAAGAUGAAAAGCACUUUGAAAAGAGAGUUAAAAAGUACGUGAAAUUGUUGAAAGGGAAGCGCUUGAGACCAGACUCGGCGGGAGGUAUUCAUCGUCCCUUCUGGGGCGUGCACUUGCCUCUCGUCGGGCCAGCAUCGGUUGCGGCGGCGGGAUAAAGACCCGGGGAACGUGGCUGCUCUCGGGCAGUGUUAUAGCCCCGGGUGUCAUGCCGCCUGCUGCGACCGAGGACCGCGCUCGGCUAGGAU
rnacentral:rRNA from 1 species